GAUGAGCGCUGGCGGCGUGCCUAAUACAUGCAAGUCGAGCGAACGGACGAGAAGCUUGCUUCUCUGAUGUUAGCGGCGGACGGGUGAGUAACACGUGGAUAACCUACCUAUAAGACUGGGAUAACUUCGGGAAACCGGAGCUAAUACCGGAUGAUAUUUUGAACCGCAUGGUUCAAAAGUGAAAGACGGUCUUGCUGUCACUUAUAGAUGGAUCCGCGCUGCAUUAGCUAGUUGGUAAGGUAACGGCUUACCAAGGCAACGAUGCAUAGCCGACCUGAGAGGGUGAUCGGCCACACUGGAACUGAGACACGGUCCAGACUCCUACGGGAGGCAGCAGUAGGGAAUCUUCCACAAGGGGCGAAAGCCUGACGGAGCAACGCCGCGUGAGUGAUGAAGGUCUUCGGAUCGUAAAACUCUGUUAUUAGGGAAGAACAUAUGUGUAAGGAACUGUGCACAUCUUGACGGUACCUAAUCAGAAAGCCACGGCUAACUACGUG
rnacentral:rRNA from 1 species